GCAAGCAACUAAAGAAGGCCCAUAACUAGAAAUUAAUAUCAAUUACAUUUGUCUUUUAAGUGUCAAGUCAAAAUGAAAAUGUUGUUUGAAACUAUUUUCCAUGUAGUGAUUUUCUGCGUUGUCUUCAAUCUUAAUUAUACUGUAGCAGAGCUGAAUGUCAAUUUCGGGACAGAAAACGAGUCAAGUAUUAAUGUGGAGAAUAUGACAUUUUUCAGGGGAGAGAAUGAAAAAGCGUAUAAAAAAUUUUGUGAUUGUAUAGAUGAUCUAUUAUAUAAUACUGAAGAUGGAAAUUGUUACGAUUAGAUAUUAUUUUGCACUUCUGCCUGGAAAAAUAAGUGCAAAAUGUAUAAAAAAUCCUUGUCGCAUUGAUGGUCUUGUUCCUUAUAAUGGACAAUGCUACAAUCUAUGGAGAUAUGGACACCCAUGCAGUAAUAAUAACACUUAUUUAGGAAUUAGUGAAAAUUUUCAAAUACAAUGUGAUAACUCCAAGUAUUUAGGAACAAAUGAUAAUCAGGUAACUUUUAUUAAAGACAAAAUAGUACUUUAAUUUUUAAAUAAUCUAUUCUAAUCUAAAAUGAGCAAGAAAGAGGGUUCUCUAUUAAUAUACAGAAGGUACUUAAGUACAAAACAAUUAUACUUGACCCUUAUCUGUUCGAACUCAGUAAACCUAUACAGAGAUCUGUUUUUCUCUAGCUGAUAA